AUCCGCGAGAUCGCCUCCGGCGCUAGCCC
rnacentral:sRNA from 1 species